GUCUACGCCGUAAACGAUGCGCACUAGGUUCGAGAGCCUCUGACGGUCCUCGAUCCGAAGCAAAAGUGUUAAGUGCGCCGCCUGGGGAGUACGGCCGCAAGGCUAAAACUCAAAGGAAUUGACGGGGGCUCACACAAGCGGAGGAGCAUGUGGAUUAAUUCGAAGCAACGCGAAGAACCUUACCUGGGCUUGACAUGUACGGAUGCCCUCGAUGAAAAUCGAGUAAGCUGCCUUCGGGUGAAACGUACACAGGUGCUGCAUGGCUGUCGU
rnacentral:rRNA from 1 species